UUGUUGUCGUUAAACAACUGAAAAAAUACAACAGAUUGUGAUCAGAUGAACAGUACUUCAUUACUUUGACAUCUGUAUUUAAGAGUGAUAGUGAUAAGUAGUUGGAGCACUAUGUUAAAACUGAAUGAGAAUUGCAGACAGGGCAUUAAACCAUGAGUCACGGGAACUGGUAAUGCCUUGUUUGCCUUUGGUUCCAGCUAAUAAUCAUUUAUUUGAACUUGCAGAUAGAAAAGCUCCUGUCUUAUCCAUGAAGAAUGCAUUGGUGGAUGGAGCCUUAUUCCAGGCCAACUGUACUGUCUGGCAUUCCUGCCCAUCCUCUCCUCCAUCCCUUCACUGGAGCCGCUUGCCUGUAAAUUCUACAGCAGUGACUUCCAUGGAGGAAAAGGGAGGGCUGUGGGUGUCUACUGAGACAAUACAAGGAAGAGGAACGUGCCAACUGCACAAAAAAGAGAUGAAAUGCACAGCUCAAUUCGCUACAGUACAAUCUGAGAGUCAACCAGUCAUUCUUAACAUCUCAUAUGCCCCAGUAGGUGUGAAGGUGAUGGUGGAUGAACAGCCAGUCAGUGAAGGUCAUAGUGUCAACCUGGAGUGUGUUGCUGACAGCAACCCCCAGCCAGGCAGGUAUAUCUGAAUCAGACGACAGGGAGGCCAAAGCAUCCAAAUGAAUUCAACUCAGGGCAAAAUGUCCUAUCCCAACAUUAGCAGAGACACCUCAUUCUCCUGCAUUGUCCAAAAUAAUAUUGGAUCAAAUCAGUCAGCCUGGCUGUUUCUGGAUGUCAACUGAUGAUCAAGGGAAGCAGUGCUCUCCCAUCCUCUUUCACUUCCAUCACAAUAUACAGAGAAAAUAUGGUGUCAACAGAACUCACUGGGCCUGUGGAAAGAGGCCCGAAUGUCUCCUGUGUAGCCAGUAACUCACUGGCCACUGACAUCCAGCAGCUGCCCCUUGACACAAAAUUCACAGCUGGACAGUUUCUGCCAUGGAUGCUGACUGCUCUGGCAGUUGUAAGUGUCUUUCUGUGGGGAGCUGUAAUGUUUGUAUGCAGAAUACGUUGCAGAGAGAGACCAAAGGCCAGCUCUAAUCUCCCCACUUUGGAUAUCCCUCUAAGGUACUUUCAUUUUUGCAUCUGUAUUUUACAUACAACAAAUAAUAAUGUUCAAGCUCAUUGACAUUGAGAUGUUUUUGUCUUUAAGGCAACCUGUCCCUAAGGUACAGCAAUCCCCAAAAGUAACAUAGGAUAACCCUUUGAAGAACCCGUUUUGGUUCCUAGUAGUACUCUUUUGGUUCCAGGUAGAACCCUUUUGGGUUCCAGGUAGU